rnacentral:lncRNA from 1 species
UCCCUUUCUUGAAAAGUCUCAAUUCCUAGUCUAUAAAAAGGGGACCCCUCUCUUGGACGUCCCAUAAUCAAUUCUCUUAUGGAUUUUUUAUUUUUAGAGCCUCUUCUCCUCCUCCUUGCUUCCUCCUCUAGAUCUCCUAUCACUUUGGAGUAUCCAAGAUGCUUGUAGAAGAAGGAAGAGAUCAGUUGUCGAAGUUGUUCGCAAACUAGUAUCUCCGAGCUCC